rnacentral:rRNA from 1 species
CCGGGGGGCAUGCCUGUCCGAGCGUCAUUUCUGCCCUCAAGCACGGCUUGUGUGUUGGGUGUGGUCCCCCCGGGGACCUGCCCCAAAGGCAGCGGCGACGCCCGUCGGGUCCUCGAGCGCAUGGGGCUUGUCACUCGCUCGGGAGGGACCUGCGGGGGUUGGUCACCACUAAAUUUUUAC